rnacentral:rRNA from 1 species
UGGGGAAUAUUGGGCAAUGGGCGCAAGCCUGACCCAGCAACGCCGCGUGAGGGAAGAAGGUCUUCGGAUUGUAAACCUCUGUCCUUGGGGACGAAAAAAAUGACGGUACCCAAGGAGGAAGCUACGGCUAACUACGUGCCAGCAGCCGCGGUAAUACGUAGGGAGCGAGCGUUGUCCGGAAUUACUGGGCGUACAGGGUGCGUAGGCGGCGCUGCAAGUCAGAUGUGAAAUCCCCGGGCUUAACUCGGGGGGUGCAUUUGAAACUGCAGUGCUUGAGUGCAGGGGAGGAAAGCGGAAUUCCUAGUGUAGCGGUGAAAUGCGUAGAUAUUAGGAAGAACACCAGUGGCGAAGGCGGCUUUCUGGACUGUAACUGACGCUGAUGCGCGAAAGCGUGGGGAGCAAACA